UACGUAGGAGACGAGCGUUGUCCGGAGUUACUGGGCGUAAAGGGUGCGCAGGUGGCUGUGCGCGUGGGGGGGUGAAAUCGCCCGGCUUAACUGGGCGGGGGCCUUCCAGACGGCGUAGCUUGAGCAGCGGAGGGGGACGUGGAAUUCCUGGUGUAGCGGUGAAAUGCGCAGAUAUCAGGAGGAACACCGAUGGCGAAGGCAGGUCUCUGGGCCACUACUGACGCUGGAGAACGCGAAAGCAUGGGGAGCGAACAGG
rnacentral:rRNA from 1 species